rnacentral:rRNA from 1 species
GUAGUCCACGCCCUAAACGAUGUCUACUAGUUGUCGGGUUUUAAUUAACUUGGUAACGCAGCUAACGCGUGAAGUAGACCGCCUGGGGAGUACGGUCGCAAGAUUAAAACUCAAAGGAAUUGACGGGGACCCGCACAAGCGGUGGAUGAUGUGGAUUAAUUCGAUGCAACGCGAAAAACCUUACCUACCCUUGACAUGUCAGGAACCUCCGAGAGAUUGGAGGGUGCCCGAAAGGGAGCCUGAACACAGGUGCUGCAUGGCUGUCGUCAGCUCGUGUCGUGAGAUGUUGGGUUAAGUCCCGCAACGAGCGCAACCCUUGUCAUUAGUUGCUACGCAAGAGCACUCUAAUGAGACUGCCAGUGAUAUACUGGA